rnacentral:rRNA from 1 species
AGAAUCAACGCUGGCGGCGUGCCUAACACAUGCAAGUCGAACGAGAAAGUGGAGCAAUCCAUGAGUAAAGUGGCGCACGGGUGAGUAACACGUGACUAACCUACCCUUGAGUGGGGAAUAACCUAGGGAACCUGGGCUAAUACCGCAUAACACCUACGGGUCAAAGGAGCAAUUCGCUUAAGGAGGGGGUCGCGGCAGAUUAGCUAGUUGGCGGGGUAAUGGCCCACCAAGGCAGUGAUCUGUA